rnacentral:rRNA from 1 species
UAAGGAAUAUUGGACAAUGGAGGCAACUCUGAUCCAGCCAUGCCGCGUGAAGGAAUAAGGCCCUAUGGGUUGUAAACUUCUUUUAGACGGGACAAAACCCCUUUACGUGUAAAGGGUUGAUGGUACGGUCAGAAUAAGCAUCGGCUAACUUCGUGCCAGCAGCCGCGGUAAUACGAAGGAUGCAAGCGGUAUCCGGAAUUAUAGGGGUGAAAGGGUGCGUAGGCGGACUAAUAAGUCAGUGGUGAAAGCCUGCAGCUUAACUGCAGAAUUGCCAUUGAUACUGUUAGUCUUGAGUACAGUUGAGGUAGGCGGAAUGUGUCAUGUAGCGGUGAAAUGCUUAGAUAUGACACAGAACACCGAUUGCGAAGGCAGCUUGCUAAGCUGUAACUGACGCUGAGGCACGAAAGCGUGGGGAGCAAAC